CUACGUGCCAGCAGCCGCGGUAAUACGGAAGGUCCAGGCGUUAUCCGGAUUUAUUGGGUUUAAAGGGAGCGUAGGCUGGAGAUUAAGUGUGUUGUGAAAUGUAGACGCUCAACGUCUGACUUGCAGCGCAUACUGGUUUCCUUGAGUACGCACAACGUUGGCGGAAUUCGUCGUGUAGCGGUGAAAUGCUUAGAUAUGACGAAGAACUCCGAUUGCGAAGGCAGCUGACGGGAGCGCAACUGACGCUGAAGCUCGAAGGUGCGGGUAUCGAACAGGAUUAGAUACCCUGGUAGUCCGCACAGUAAACGAUGGAUGCCCGCUGUUGGUACCUGGUAUCAGCGGCUAAGCGAAAGCAUUAAGUAUACCACCUGGGGAGUACGCCGGCAACGGUGAAACUCAAAGGAAUUGACGGGGGCCCGCACAAGCGGAGGAACAUGUGGUUUAAUUCGAUGAUACGCGAGGAACCUUACCCGGGCUUGAAC
rnacentral:rRNA from 1 species